UCCUUCUGCAGCCCUUCCAACCUGGUUUGAGUUUCCUUAAGCUGCAAAGAGGACACUUUAAGGGCAUCUUGACUCUCGUUGAAAGCAUUCUCCAGUUCAGCUUUCUCUGCUUCAAUCUUCUCCAGCUUUUGUUCUAAUUCAACCACCCUUUGUGAAAUGGAAUUGUAUUCUGCUGCCAAAGGGUUCUCAAUAUUGGGAGAAUCAUGAGGAACAGCAUCAGAAGUCACUGAAGGUGUCUUGUUUGCAGUUUCAGAUAAUGCAGCAAGUUGCUCCAUCUCCAAGAAAUCAUCCAUCAUAUCGAUUUCUAUAGAACAGGCAGCAAGAGUUUUAGGCAUGGCCUUUUCAUUCUUAAAUUGAUCAAGCUCAGCAAUGAGUGCUGAAGCCCAUGAAUUUGAGCAACUUGGUUCAUAUUCUCUUGUUUCCAGUUUACUCAUUUUGAGG
rnacentral:misc_RNA from 1 species